rnacentral:lncRNA from 1 species
AGCCAGGUAAGCGUGGACAAUUCCUUCAGGAUAGAGGCUGGUAAGUAUGAACCAUUCCUCCAUGGUGUAGCCAGGUAAGCAGGAAGCAUUCCUUCAGGAUGCAGCCAGGUAAGUAUGAAACAUUCCUUCAGGAUGCAGCUAGGUAAACAUGGAUCAUUUCUUCAGGAUGGAGCCGGAUAAAUGUGAAUCAUUUCUUCAGGAUGCAGCCAGGGAAGUGUGGACCAUUCCUUCAGUGUAAAGCCAGGGAAGCGAGGGCCAUUAUUACUUCAGGAUGGAGCCAGGUGCAGCCAGGUAACUGUGGACCAUUUCUUCAGGAUGCAGCCAGGUAAGCAUGAACCUUUCUUCUGAAUGGAUCAUUUCUUCUGGAUGGAGCCAGCUAAGCAUGGACCAUUCCCUUAGGAUAAAGCCAGGUAAGCUUGGACCAUUUUCUCAGAAU